GUGCUCAUCUCGGCAGCACAUAUAUUAACAUUGGAACCACACAGAGAGGAUUAGCAUGGGCCCUGCUCAAGGGUAAUCCACAAUUUCUUCAUCAUACCCCAGAAACAA
ensembl:snRNA U6 U6 spliceosomal RNA